AGCCACAUCACAUUGAAUUAUUUGUUCCCUUACGAUCACAGAAGUUAAGCAACAUUGAGCUUGGUUAGUACCUAGAUGGGUGACCACUUGGGAAUACCAGGUACUGUAAG